GUGAUGAAUCACAUGAAUGUCUUCCUGAUUUAUUUAUAUAACCACCGUCAGUACAGCUGGUCAGUUGUGCUAGCUGACCUAUUUGCCGUCCAAAUAUUUGUGCUCUCUUUUCCAAAGGAUUAAACCAUACAGGCUGAACUGAAAUGUAAGAACAUGACUUGAAUAUUUCAUGCUGUACUGAUUGGAUCCCCGUCCAUAUCCACAUCAAUGUGGACAAGAUUUUAAUGUAUUAGCCCAUAUUAGGCAUGUCAAGAAUUGUAAAUGGUCUGAAUUUUACCCUAUUUGCAAGCUAACAAAUCAACAGUCUAUUAAGACUAAUGAACAAUUUUAUUCAAGCUGACAAGAAACAGAAAAGUGCUGGAUCAGAGACAAAAUCUACUUACAGCAGA